AGUAUGUGGUGAAGAGAGAAAGGCAGACGGUCACGUUUGGUUUUCGGCUUCUUCUUCGUUCCAAGUCAAGGUGUAUUUUUGACAAGUAAACUGAAUUUUUAAAGGGGAAUCAAAGGAAAGAGACAGACCACCACAGGGAGAAAAAAGAGAGACAGAGUGACAAGGAGAGCAGAAGCACACAAAAGAGGCGACAAACAAUUCCCGGG